CGGACUUCGGUCCGAUGUCAGCUUCGGACUUCGGUUCGAUGUAGGGGACAAGGUCCCAAUCAGCUUCGGACUUCGGUCUGAUGUCAGCUUCGGACUUCGGUCCGAUGUGAGCUUCGGACUUCGGUUCGAUGUAGGGGACAAGGUCCCAAUCAGCUUCGGAAUUCGGUCUGAUGUCAGCUUCGGACUUCGGUUCGAUGUAGGGGACAAGGUCCCAUUCAGCUUCGGACUUCGGUCCGAUGUAGGGGGCAAGGCCCCAGUUAGUCCGGACUUCGGUCCAAUGCAGUGGGCAAGGCCCAGUAUGUGCUUUAUAUGUUAUUGUGUGGUAUGUGGUAGAUUGGGGGAGCUCACUAAGCUUCGUGCUUACGGUUUUCAGUUUUGGUUUCAGGUACU
rnacentral:lncRNA from 1 species